AGAGUUUGAUCCUGGCUCAGGACGAACGCUGGCGGCGUGCUUAACACAUGCAAGUCGAACGAUGAAGCCUUUCGGGGUGGAUUAGUGGCGAACGGGUGAGUAACACGUGGGCAAUCUGCCUGCACUCUGGGACAAGCCCUGGAAACGGGGUCUAAUACCGGAUAGCACCUUCUCCUGCAUGGGGGAGGGUUGAAAGCUCC
rnacentral:rRNA from 1 species